AGUGAACGCUGGCGGUAGGCCUAACACAUGCAAGUCGAACGAGUGGCGGACGGGUGAGUAAUGUCUGGGAAACUGCCUGAUGGAGGGGGAUAACUACUGGAAACGGUAGCUAAUACCGCAUACCAUCGGAUGUGCCCAGAUGGGAUUAGCUAGUAGGUGGGGUAAAGGCUCACCUAGGCGACGAUCCCUAGCUGGUCUGAGAGGAUGACCAGCCACACUGGAACUGAGACACGGACCAGACGACUACGGGAGGCAGCAGUGGGGAAUAUUGGACAAUGGGCGCAAGCCUGAUGCAGCCAUGCCGCGUGUAUGAAGAAGGCCUUCGGGUUGUAAAGUACUUUCAGCGGGGAGGCGUUACCCGCAGAAGAAGCACCGGCUAACUUCGUGCCAGCAGCCGCGGUAAUUC
rnacentral:rRNA from 1 species